CACCCUGCCCGCCACCCCGGCGUCUGGGCGCGAGCGCGGCCGCUCGCCCUCUCCUCCAGCCCACCUCUCACCUCGUCCCUAGCUCCACCGAGCACUUUCUGCUGCCUGCCGUAGCAGCCUGCAGCCAGAGCCCUACACCACUCCUACCGCUGGCAUUACAUUUUCAGGCUGGAUGCUAUAGGGCCGUUUCUAAUUACCUUAUAUCCCCUAGUGGUCUAUGAAUAAUGGUUAGUGAAGGAGCUCGGAAGGGCUGCUGAGAAAGGGAAGCAAAAAAAAAAAAAAAAAAGGGAGAAAAAAAGAAUUGUGCUAUUUCUCACGUUUUUUUUUCUAAGGAUCUAAUCUGGCUACUGUGUUCUGGAAGAGGAGGAGAGAGAGGCAGCAGGAGAGAGAGAGAGAGGCGAGCAAGAAACAUCGCAGCUUUCAAGACCAAAGAUGCACUGGUGAAAAGGGGAGGCUCAGAGUACCAGGCACACACAAAUCUUAAAGGAGAGCCUUCCCUUUUGUCUCCGAGGCGAUCAGCCGGUGAAGGGAUCCACAAAUUAAUUAAAAAUCGCUGCAUCUCGAUUGAGUUAUUCCUGCUCGCAUCCCACUUGCCUAUCAAAGGACUGGGAAUGGCAGAAGAAAAUUCCUGUGUCUUUCCAAACAGAUCAGCCACGUACAACAGACUGCCUAGCUCUGGUUUUAUCCCAGGCAGCGAAGGAAAUAAGAAGGGAACGGCCGGCGCAGCACCCAGAGAGAUCUCCCGAAAGAUGUGUCCCUCUGCCGCGUUAAAAAAUCCUGUAGUAUUUGGACUGUUCAGAGGAGGAAUUAGCAGAUUUACAUGUCAAGAAUGGGCCAAACUGUGGUUGUAACUCCGCUGAAGGUGAUGGAGAGCCAUCGGAGAUUGGUUUGGCCCAAGGUCUCGUGUUUGCUCGGUAGGGAACGUGCUGGACCUCUGCCUUCCUCGAAACAAGACUUAUUCGAAUGGGUUUGUUGCGGCUGCGUCACACCCAAGCGGUAGCGC
rnacentral:lncRNA from 1 species